CGGAGCUUCCAUUGUGUACUGCGCCUGCGAGGCUGAGCCGGGCGGUGCAGUGGAAGUCCAUAGCGGGGGUACUCCCUUCUGCCGCCGGCGUGGGAUGGCGAGUCUGUCGGGACCCUGGGGACUUGUGGAAACUGUGUGGAAGAUCAUCUUCUAUUGCCUGCAGAUUCAUUCCAAAUCUUCUUAUGGAAACCGUUAUAAUGUACUCACAGUGACUGCUCAAUGUACAAUACCCUGGUCAGAUAGAAUGGGAAGCUGAUGCACUGCUGAAUACUUCAGGCUACCAUUGUGAGAAUAGGAGAAAUGUUCAGUGUGGGCCCAAUGGUAUUAAUGCAAAGAAAGUAUCUCCCAACUGGUGAAUAUCUUUACUGAUGGUUGCUGCCUUCUUGAAGAUCCAUCUCAUAAAGAUGUACUCGACGGCAGGGAGGAUUAUACCCGGGAUGGAACUGGCUCAGUCUGUAAACCUCUGUAGCCUCUUGUGAUUGUAUUCAGUUUAUGAACCUCCACACCAUACUGUGAUACAACCAGUCAGAAUGUUCUCCUCCUUACAUCUGCAGAAAUUUUUAAAAGGCUUUGGUGACAUACCAACUCCUCUCAAACUCCCAAUGAACUAGAGUCACUGGGGUGCCUCCACUAUGCUUAUAUCAAUGUGUUGGGCCCAGAAUAGAUGUUGGUGCCCACCAAUGACCCCUCAAUGAGGAUUGCAAUGUGCUCUCCUGACUUCCUCUUCCUGAUGCCCACAAUCAGUUCCUUGGUCCUGCUGGUGAGAACACCAGAUUAGUCAAUCUCUCCUCAAGAAACCACCUUCCUUUGAACUGCUCGCAUGAAGCUGCAUGGAACUCUCUCAAUGUCGUGUAUGUUCUUUUGUAGGGCAUCUGGAAUUAUUAGUUUCUUAUUCAGCAAGUUCCAUCCAUUCAUCUACUGGUGGCUCGAAGGGACAAAGCUUCCAUAAAAAUCUUCAUAUGAGACCUGUUGUUUCAAUCAUCAUUUCCUACUGUGGAGAAAGAGAAGGCAGCACAGGAAAGUUGGGAGAUCUCUGGCAUAAAAUUGUGACAUUUGCCCAACACAAUCUGUGUGUAAAGUGCAUCGUUGCCUUGCCAGUCUCUGGGAAAGGUAUCGGAUCUAAAAGGAAUUUGUGGGACAGCUUCAGAAAUGCAGCACAAGAGCUGCCGUUGGAACUGGGACAACACGCAGAGGUUGUAGUAUGUAGCUUGCCAUGCUUAGUAUAAAGAGAUUACAAUUGGUGAUGGAACAAUCGGUAAUGAGAUUACCAAUAUUUUUAACAUUGAAAACAGAGCUUGACAGAUGCAGAGUGUAAGAUGUCAAUGUUAAAGUGCAGACCUUUUAACUGAUAACCUGAACAUUGACUUCCUUAACUUCUGUUAAUGCCCCUCCUCCCCUUCUUACCCCAUCCCUGACAUAUUCAAUUGUUUGCCUGUUCUCCAUCUCCCUCUGAUGCUCCCCCCCCCCACUUUCUUUCUCCUGAGGCCUCCCGUCCCAUGAUCCUUUCCCUUCUCCAGCUCUGUAUCAUUUUCGCCAAUCACCUUUCCAGCUCUUAGCUUCAUCCCACCUCCCUCCAGUCUUCUCCUAUCAUUUCGCAUUUCCCUUUCCCCCCACUACUUUCAAAUCUCUUACUAUCUUUCCUUUCGGUUAGUCCUGACAAAGGGUCUCGGCCCGAAAUGUCAACAGCGCUUCUCCCUGCCUGGCCUGCUGUGUUCCACCAGAUUUUUGUGUGUGUUGUUUGAAUUUCCAGCAUCUGCAGAUUUCCUCGUGGUAACUGAUAACCUGGUUAAUUUAACUAUUGCCCUCAGCAUAUUGUAUUCCUUGUUUCCUUAGGGACUUCAACGGAGACUGCAGAUUACUCAAAGACUCCAAUUUAUGCUGGCAUAGGAGGAAAUGUGCAUAAAUUUGUGGUAUCCUAAAAUUCAAGACGGACACCAGGAAAAUUUCAUGAUGUCCAAGAUGAGUUGUGUACGGAAGUCGACCACUUUUCCCAAUCUAAUCAUCAGAUGCUGCAAAUCUGAAAUUAAAACAGAAGUUGAAACAGAACUACUCAGCACAUUGGUAGAGUUUGGUUCUGACAAAGUAUCUUCAACUUGAAACGUUAACUCAGUUUUCUUUCCACAGAUACUGCCCGACCAACUGAGUGCUUCCUGCAUUUUCUGUUUCCUACCCAACUUGAUCUCUAGUCCAAUCUACCCUGUGUUAAAUUGCAUGUCUGCUCUUGAAAUAGGGACACUAAUAGCUCCAGUUUCUAGACUGUAGUACCAAUUAUUGUUUCAAGAAGUAGGUCUAAUAAGUAAAUUGAGAACACAAGGACAAAUGGGGGCUGUGAUCGCUGAAAGAAUCAGAAAGGAAUACUAAAGGGUCAAGGACAUACAGGUGCAAAGUUCAAAGUGCAUUUGUUAUCAAAGUGUGUAUGCAGUCUAUGACUGAGAUUUGUCUUCUCCACAGCCAAGAAUAGCAUCAAAAACUCCGUGCAAAAACAAUGUGCAAAUGGCACAAGAGCACCAACCCCCACUCGCAAAAAAUUGCAUUUUCGGCAACAUGAUAGAAUGGGCGAAAACACAGAAUAUAAAAACACAAAAUCAAAAGAGUCCGAUCGAACUACGGUCCAGCCCACAAACUGCAGACCCAGAACUUCAUUACCAUCCUCCGACAGCAUCAAGGAAGAGAAGUUCAACUUGAAAAAGAGGAAUUUGGUCAUAGGAAUUGAACAGGAAAGCAUUCAACAUACCACCAGAACAAAUAUGAGCUGCAUAAAAGCAAAAUGGAUAUAAUGCCAAAGGAUUCAAAAGUCCUACGUUAAAACUUUGAAAUAUGCUAAUAAAUUCACAUUAACGACCUGAUCAAAGCUGUGUGAAACUAAUGCUAAGGUUAAUGGUCUUCAAAAUGGUAAUAGAAGGUAACAAAAAUUUAGUGGCAAAAUGUAAUGCUAAAUUUGAAAGAAAUAAAAAAGGGAUCAAAUGGAGGAAAUGUUGUUGUGAAGGAAAUAUGAUUAAGAAAAAUCAUCAGCUUUCAAUGAAGUACCAGAUAUAAUUGUAGAGGAUGAAAUUAUGAUAGUGAUUUAAAGUAGUUUCCUUAAGUUGUGGGAAAAUAGGAAUAUGGAAGGAUAAGAAAGAAGAUUAUAUGCAGACAAGGAAUGUAGAAAAUGAAUUAUUUUUAAAUAUAGUCAUUGAACGUAAUAAUUGAAACCCAACAGCAAACACUAUAAUUAUAUAAAAUCUGGAAUGAGAUAUCUGAGGGAAUGACUAUAUCAGUAAUGAGAAUACAUAUGAAUUUUCAAAUAUUCUACAGAUAAAUGAUUAGUAAUUUAAGUUUUACCAUAAACCUGGGGAAGAAGUAACAGCUUUGUUCAAUAUUAAACUGUAAUUGUAGACCAGUGUGUUGACUGUAGGCAAAUCUUUACAACCAAAUUUUGUUUGCAAUCAAAUUUAUAAGACCUUACAAGGUUAUGAAAUAAUUAAAAGAACCAGUCUGGAUAUGUUAAGGGUAAGUCAUUUUUGACAGGUUUUCUUUUAACAGGCACUUAUUAGAUUGAAAAAUGUAUUUUAGAUGAGGCAGUGCAUGGGAAUUAUCAGAAGGGAUUCUGUAAUGUGCUUUACAAGUAGAAAAAAAUGUGUUCUUGUAGGAGAAAUAUAUGAACGGGAAUAGAAAAUCUGUAGACAGGAAAUUAAGAUUUCAAUUAAUUGGCUUUUGAAUAUGGAACAGUCUUUGAAUAACACAUUCCAGAAGUCAGUACUGAACUUUGUUCCCAACAUAAAUAGAUAAUUCAGACUUGGAGAAAGAUGACAUAUAAUCAGGAAAUCUACUAAUGAUGUAAAUAUUGAAGCUUUUGCUGAAAGAAAAUAGGAUUGCUAAGAAACUUUGUGCAGAAACAGGCAGGUCUGUGAAUUAGAUGCAGAGAUGACAGGUGCAAUUUCAGAUGUUGCAACAUCAAAUAUUUUUGGAGGAGUAUCAGUAAUGAGAGUACAUAUGAAUUUGCAAAUAUUCUGCAGAUAAAUGAUUAGUAAUUUGGUUUUUAUAAGCCAAGAGAAAGGAAAUAAAUAAUAGUGAAUUUAGACAAAGAAAAAUGAUCAGGGUGCAGUUUCUGUACUGUCUACAGCUUUAUAUUCCAGUUGUUGGGAGUAUAUAGAUAAUAAAUGACAUUGAUGUGCCAGAAUAAAGACAAGAAUGUGAAGCUAUUGUUAUAAGGAAAGAGUUGAGUUAUUAAGAUGAUUUCCACUAGAGUAGAAAGGCUAAUGAGGGUGGGGAUGAUGUUGAAUGCAUGGAUUUGAUAGUGGGUAUUUGAAACAAAGAAGAGUAUUGAUUUUGUUCCAUAUUUGUACUUAUUUCUUUAAUAAGGGAUGUUUGGGGAGAGAGAAAGAAGGGAGUGAAAUAAGUGCCACCAUCAAUCUAAUUUCCUUGGAGUGUGACGAGAAAGGUUAGCAACAAUAUCUUAUCACAAAAGCUCUUUGAUGGGAUUUAUUAACUGAACGUGAAUUGUUUUUUUAAUGUUAUCACUCAUUUAGAAACUAUAAGAUAUAGGAGCAGAAUCAGGACAUUUGGCCCAUUGAGUCUGCUCCGUUAUUUCAUCAUGGCUGAUUCAUUUUCCCUCUCAGCCCCAAUUUGCUGCCUUCUCCACGUACCCCUUCAUGUCCUGACCAAUCAGGAAUCUGUUAACCUCAGUCUUAAAUGUACCCAAUGACUUGGACUCCAAAGCUGCCUGUGGCAAAGAAUUCCACAGGUUCACCACUCUGUGGCUAAAGAAAUUCCUCCUCGUCUCCAUUCUAAAGGGACACUCCUCUAUUCUGAGGCUGUGUCCUUUGGCCUUAGACACUUAACCACAGGAAAUAUCAAUAAUGAAAAAUAAAGUUUAUUUUAUGUUCAUUGGAGUAUGAAUUAAGAGGGGUGUCCUUAUAGAGGUGUAUAACUCAAAGGAGCAUAGACCGGGUGAUUAUGCACAGUCUCUUACAGGGUUGAGGAGUCAAAAAAAAGAUACUGAUUUAGGGUGGGAGGGGAUUUACUAGGAAUCUGAGAGGCAACUUUUUCACCCUGAGGCUAGUCAGUGUAUGGAAUAAGCUGUCAGAGGAAAUGGUUGCGAGAGGUACAUUAACAACAUUUAAAAAGCACCUGGAUAGAAAAGGGUUAGAGGGAUAUGUGCAAAACAAGGACAAAUGAGACUAACCUAAAUGGAAACCUUUGCUGGCUUGGAGCCUCAGGGGCCUGCUUCCAUGCAGUACAAGCCAGUGCUCCUAUAGUUUUCUGGAAAGAAUAUCCAGACUGAGGCAGUUUGAAAUAAAUUACGGAUGUCAGUUGUAAACUGUUUCAUGAAUAAGGUAGUUUUGUUGCUUCAUGACUCCAAGAAAAUGGGUUUAAUCUUGAAGUCAGGUGCACUAGUUACCUCCCUGUGACGAGAGACCCGGGCAAGGGUGGUUGGGACCCAUUUGCUGGAGCAUCUGAGACUAGAAUCGAGGCACGGUACGAGACUGAAAUGAAGACAGGGUUCUAAACUAGAUGCUAAAUGAGAAACCAAAACUGAGCUGAUGACUGAGCACCAAACCUCAGUCCAGAUGCUCUUUAAAUAUUAAAAUUCUGGUGCCAAAACAUGGCCGCCAGUUAGCAGGGCGGCCUGAAUCUUUAAAGGGGCCGCAUUAGCUAUUCUCAUUCUGGAGAGUUAGAGCGUCUAAACCUGGAAGUUAUCGCGGUUGGGUGCUCGUCGUAGUAGGACCCCCUUCCCUAUGGCCGACUCCUGACGGCCCUGGCUGCUCAGAGAGACAAUGAUGGUAGUCAUUCAUGAGAGCCACAGGUUCAGGAACCCACCACAGUUCCUUGGGUCUGAAUCAUUCCCAGUCCAUAAAGAACUGCUGAACUCUCCAAACAGUUUGUGAAUCCAAAAUUCUUCUCACCUUGGAGACCUGCUCCCCAUCAAUAAUCCUGGAUGGUGGCGGUGGGACUGAUGGUGGUGGGGCUAAAGACCUGGUGUUCACAUGUUUUAAUUUGGGAAUAAAGGAAGUGCAAUUGAUCUCGAAGGUCUUGGGAGCUGCAAGGUGUAAGCCACCAGGUUUAACUUCUUAAGAAUCUUGAAGGGUCCAAUGAACUUGGGUGCCAAUUUCUUAGACUCCACCUGGAGAAACACAUCCUGGGUCAAUAGCGAUCUGUUCCCUAGGCUGUAAAACUGCUCCCUGCUUUCUCUUUCAGUUAGUCUUUAUUUCAAUCUUCCAGGAAGAAGCUAACAAAAUCUCCCUUGUCCGAUUCCAUUUCUCCUUGCAAAUGUGGUCUUCAACCCCAGGAACCUCAACCUUGGCCUCCUGCUCAGGGAAGAGUGGUGGAGAACACCCAAACUGGCAUUUUAAAGGGCACUGAAUGCCAUAAAAUCGAGUUGGCGAUCUCUGUCCACAUCAAAUGGUCACACCAUUCAUUCUGUCUUUUGUGGCAUCUCAGGGUUCAUUCCAAAUCUUAGUCCACCCACUCCUUCUCGCCAUUGGACUAUGGUGAAAGACUUGCUGUUGCUCCACUCAGCUUACAGAACACCCUCUAAAAAUGUGACACAAACUGAAGACAGUAUUCUGACACAAUAUCCAUGGGAAAACCAUGGAUCCUGAAGAACUGGUGCAGGACAAUUUCAGCCAUCUCUGCCUCAGAUAGUAGUCUGUUCAAGGCUAUCAAUUUGCAGGCCUUCAAACAACGAUCCGCAAUUACCAUAGUAACAUUUUUCCCACUGGAAUGAGGAAGACCUGUGACAAAGUCCAUGGAAAUGUGUGCCUAUGCUCUGGUGGUGAAGUUGCCCUUGAGGUUAGGUGUGGGGCUCCUUGUUCCAGAUGUACACCUCACGUGCGUACACACACUGACAGGCUACCCUCACCAUUCCAGGCCACCAAUACCUUCUCUAAAUGAACUCGAGGGUCCUGGCAAUCCCUCGGUGAGUGGUCAUUCUUGAUGCAUGUCCCCAAUGAAGAACCUGAGACCAGAUGGAACAAUGAGCAAACAGCAGACCCAAAGAGCCAUUCUGAGAAAUCUCCCCUUGUACCUGAGCUUCGUGAACAAGUGUGUUGAUUCCCCAAUGAAUUGGCACUAUCACCUUGGCUUGGGGCAAAUUGGCAGUAGGCUGCUCCCCUCAUCCGGAUUUGUUGAACUGACGGGACAAAGCAUCUAAUUUUUGGUAUUUUGACCCUGUUCAAUAGUUCAGGCCAAAAUUAAAGUGGUUAAAGAAAAGAGCCAGCUGGUCUGCCUGGAAUUCAGCCUCUUAGCCUCGUGAAUAUAAACUAGAUUCUUGUGGUCUGUCCAUAUGAUAAAAGGGGUACUAGCCCCCUCAAGCUAGUACCUCCAUUUCUCCACAGCACUUUGACCAUGAACAGCUCUUUAUUUCCAUUGUCGUAGUUCAUCUCCGCCAGGGAUAGUCACGUGGAGAAGAAGGCACCUGGGUGCAGUUUAUUGUCCAAAGGUGUUUGUUGAGACGAAACUACACCCUCUCCAAUGUCUGAGGCAUCCACCUCCAUGAUGAAGUGAAGGUCCAGGUUGGGAGCGACCAAAAAACUGUUGUGAACCGCUGUUUAAGGUCUGCAAAAGCAGCCUCCGCUUCUAAGCAAUAGGGCCCAUGGAUCUCUCCGGUCGAGCUGUCAGCGGAGCCGCCACUGAACUGAAGCUUCUGAUGAACUUUCAGUAAGAGGUAGCAAAUCCCAGGAACUGUUGGUCUUGUUCCACGUUGGAUAGUUGUGGCCUUUCCCCGACUGCUAGGGUCCAUCUUGAGAUUGCCAUUAAAGAUGAUGAAAUCCUAAAAUGAAGUGGUGGCUAGGUGAAAUUUGGACUUCUCCAGCUUGACAUGAAUUCCCUGAUCAAGGAGCCUCUUUAGGACAUCUCUGAGGUGAGUGACGUACUCCUCCGUGGACUUAGAGAAAAUUAGGGUAUUGUCGAAGUAGACAAAAGUGUACGUAUGGAGAGCAUCCUGGAGUGUGCCGUUCAUGAAGGCCUGGAAAGCUGCUGGUGCGUUCACAAAGCCAAAGGGGUCGACCAGGUACUCAGUGUCCUGUUGGUGUGUUGGACGCCAUCUUCCACUCAUCACCCUCAUUUAUGCAAACCAGUUUGUAUGCACUCCGCAAGUCUAGCUUUGAGAAUACUCUUGCCCCUUGGAGAAUCUCGAAGGCAGUGUUCAUGAGUGGAAGAGGGUAACGAUUCUGGAUGAUUAUGUAAGUCAGUCCUCUCUAAUCAAUGCAUAACCUGGAACCUCUUGUUUAAUUUCUUGUUUUAUUUCCACUGUUUCUGGCUCAGUUUCUUCCUCUUCUUCUUCUGCAGGCCCCUGUCUUUUUCUGUAUGAAGAAGAAGCCAUUAGUGGUGGGACAGGAGGAGGGCUGAAUGAAUCCCAGGGCAAAACCCUCUUUUGUAUACUCUCCCAUUGCGCCUCUCUCUGGGUCUGAGUGUGUGUAUAAUCAACCACGAGGAGGACAAGCAUCCAGCAGUUGACCUGUAGCACAGACAUAGUGUCAGUGUGGUGCAGUGCAAGAUUCAGGGCCUUUCCUUUGCUGAAGACCUCUUCCAAAUCCUUGUAGACGGAUAGGAUUUCUACCAGCUUGCGUGCGGCAAUCACCCCCAGAAUCUUCCUUUGAGGAUGACUCCCGAGGCUUCUUGGGUAGUGGGGGUGACUCUGCAGACCCCAGUGUCUCUUCCAUAGGUUCACAAGAGUCUAUACUGCAAGCAGAGGCCAACUCAGAGUCCAAAACCUUGUCCGUAUCCUCAGACAUCAGCAGUGAGAUGUGACAAAUGGUCCUUGUGCUCCUGGGACUAGUUUUUUGGAACUAUUCUGGAAACUUCUCCUUAAGGCUGAUUUAUACUUCUGCGUCAAAUGAACGCCAUAGGUAUGGCAUAGCUGCAUAACUUACGCUGUACCCUACGCCCUACCCCACACCAUAGUCUGAUGUGCACCUCUCCAAAAAUGUAACUGCGCAUCGCGGCGACGCAGACCGCAACAACUGUGAUUGGUCCGCUUGGUAGCAUCGCAUUUCCUCCUGUCUAUGGGCAUACUGUGCAUACGCUGAUGCGAAAUAAAUGGUUGGAGACGAUGAACCAAAUUGUCAAAUCUACCUGCCAACAUCCGAAAAUAUUUGAAAUACAUUUCCUUGUCCAUGUCUCUCAGUGGCCAGACGAGCACAGAAAAUUCACCCUCCCUCUGCCUCAAUCUGUUCAAUGGCCGUACACACCAUCUCCUCCGUCAUAUUCUCUCUUUUCUGCAUUGCUGUAAUUUCAACAAAAGUAACCCUUGCUCAACAUUUAUUAACUCCAACUCCAACAUGAUGCAGUCAGUCGCUAUUAGAAACCCCACCGCCAACUAGCGUUUUGGUGGUGAAUUGCAGAGCAAUGUAGACACGCCAACGCACAGGUAUAAAUUUUCAUAAUGGUGCAGGCCACUAACGAAGGCUGCGGUGUAGGCUGCUACGCAGAAGCAUAAAUCAGCCUUUCGAUGGGUCCUGGCAACUGGAACCCUUUGAGUUAGUUGCUAGAGUUCCAGACCUCCUUGGCUUGCUUCUGAACUAGAGGUCCACUCUCUUUAGUUCCAGCUCAUCCACUAUUGGACUUGCGGGAGCCAACGUGUCUGCCCUUGAAGGCAGAACUGGGUUUCCUGAACGCUCCAGAUUACUGUGAACAGAAGUCUUCCCCCAGUCGGCUGCUGGUCUUGGGAGAGUCUGGGAUUCGGAACACCAAGCUGAAAACAUACCUUCUUGCUGUGACUGGACCAUGCGAUGAUCUUCUCUUCCUUCCAAUUCAUGGACGGGUUAUUCUGGGGCAGACAAGGGUGCCCGAGGAUCAGAGGUACGUGAGGAGAUUCAAUGAUAUUGAGACUUAUGGCCUCUGAAUGAUCUUCUAUCCUCAUCUGCAAGACCAAUGGCUGCGGCCGGGCCUGCCGGGAACUAAGCAGAAGGCCAUCCUGAACAGUUACGGGCAUGGGCUGGCUCGACUCCUGCUGUGUUAGGUUGAGUGGAUGGGCAGUCCGCAAGUUCAGGUAACUUUCAGCUGCCCCAGAGUCGAAAAAGCAUUCACCUCUUGUCGGCUGUUACCCCAGGAGAUCUUUGCCUUAAGGGUGACAGCAGAAUCCGUGAGGCUGGCAGUAAUGGCUGCUGCCAUCACAGUCCUCUUGACACUGGACGGUCUUAUCAGGUUUCUCAACAGCUGACGCUCUGGACAGUCAGCCUGCAGGUGACCUGCUUCCCCACAAUGUUAGCAGCAACCUCAAUUCCCACGGAGAUUCUUAUGUAACUAAUUUGCAUGGACUUGACAUGACCCUCAGCAGCAGUCAGGCUGUUUAUUGUCCGACGUUGGGGGGCAUAGAACUGUGAUGCAUUGAGGCCAAACUUGGGUUAGCUCUCUACAGCUUCUUGAAGUUGUCGCACUCUUGCUCCACCAGGUGAUUAUCAAGGCUGGUCAGUCUGAGCCUCUAAGUCCUCUGAAAGCUCCCCCAAAGCAAGGGCAUUCUUUACUUUACCUUAAAAUCUACGGUGGUACAGAGUAACCAAGGCCUCCCCAUUCCAGCCACUCUCUUGGGCCAAAGUUCGAAAGGCAAUGGCGUAGUCAGCUGCUGACCGACUGCUGUGACAGGUCAGAGGCUCGGUUAGCUCCAGAAGGAUAAUGAAACACCCUCCCCAUGGAGGCCUUGAACCCCUCUGAAUCUGAGAAAAAUUCUCCAACCUUCACUCCCAAAACAGUGACCCAGGCUAGACCUUUCCCAGUCAGGAGAGAGAUCAUGAAAACCAUCUUUUCUGCACUCCAUAGGGAACUGGGCUGACUGGAGUUCGGACACCAAUGAACACUGAGUAAGGAAGCCGUGGCAGGAGUCCGACUCACUGCCGAAUCCCUCCGGGAUCGGAAGAUGUGCUGGCUCCACAGUGCGACCAGAAAACCUCACUCCAACGACUCUGGCUUCCUCCUGUGAUAGUUGGCACACAGUGACCUGGAGAUCACGCAUCCCCAGGCUCUGUCUGAAAUUUUUUCGCUGAAAGGCUCCGAUACCCUGCUGGGUCCAUGUUGGCUCCGUCAUACUGUGAUGAGAAACCUAAGUUAGGACCCAAGUUAUGGAGCAUCAGAGACUAGAAUCAAUGAAUGACACAAGACUGAAAUGAAGACAGGGUUCUAAACUAGAUGCUAGAUGAGAGUCCAAAACUGAGCUGACGAUCAUCAGUUCAGGUGCUCUUUAAAUAUUAAAUCCUGGAACUAAAACAUGGCCGCCAAUUAGUGGGCCACCCUGAACCUUUAAAGGAGCCAUGCCAGCUACUCAUAUCCUGAAGAUUUAGAGUGUCUAAACCCCAGAAGCUGGCACGGUAGGAUACAUGUCAAAACACUCCCUAUGUGCUGGUAGGUUAUUUAGGACUUGUUUUGGGUUACAAAUUAGUAUGAGUUGAUAGCAAAAAGAAUCAAAGGGUGCUGAUAUGUGAGAGAGGAAAACUUGUGGAAGUAGAAGGAGAUGAGCAGAGUAAAACGGGACCGAUCAGGUUGCUUCCCGGGAGUCAGAAUUGAACAGAGGAACUGAAUGGUUUCCUUCUGCAUUGUUUAAUGGAGUUAUAAAAAACUAUAGCACGGAAACAGGCCCUUUGGCCCGUCUAGUCUAUACCAAUCUUUCAAGCUGCCUACUCCCAUUGACCUGCACCAGGACCAUAGCCCUCCAUGCCCCUACCAUCCAUGUACUUAUUAUCCAGACUUCUCCUAAAUGUUGAAAUUGGUCUAGCAUGCACCACUUUUGCUGACAGCUCAGCAACACACUGGUGACUCUGAGUUCCUCUCAUGUUCCCCUUAAACCUUUCACCUUUCACCCUUAACCCAUAACCUCUGGUUGUAGUCCCAUUUCUCAAUGGAAAAAGCAUAGGCAUUUGCCCUAUCUAUAUCCCUCAUAAUUUUAUAUAGCUCUAGCAAAUCUCCUCUCAAUCUUCUACAUUUUAGGAAAUAAAGUCCUAAACUAUUCAAUCUUUCGUUAAAAGUCAGGUCCUCCAGACCCAGCAAUAUCCUUGUAAAUUUUCUCUGUACUCUUUUAACCUUGUUUUCAUCUUUCCUGAAGGUAGGUGACCAAAACUGCACACAAUACUCUGAAACAGGCCUAACCAAUGUCCUAUACAACUUCAACAUAACAUCCCAACUCCUUUACUCCAUACUUUCAUCUAUGAAGGCCACCUUAUGUAUAAAAAUAUGUAGCUUUUGUUGGUACAUUAGUAUCUCUGGUGCCAUGGAAUGUGAAUAUGGGAGAUAGGAACAUAGAAAACCUACAGCACAAUACAGGCCCUUCGGCCCACAAAGUUGUGCCGAACAUGUCCUUACCUUAGAAAUUACUAGGCUUACCCAUAGCCCUCUAUUUUACUAAGCCCCAUGUACCUAUCCAAAGUCUCUUAAAAGACCUUAUCACAUCCACCUCCACCACCAUUACCAGCAGCCCAUUCCAUGCACUCAUCACUCUCUGCGUAAAAAACUUACCCCUUCAGAAAUCCCAAGUAUUUAAUCUCAAACAUGGCACCCGCCAGGGAUGCCCCUUGUCCCUUUCUCUUUGAUUUGGCUAUGGAACUUCUGGCGAUAGCAUUUCGAAACUGCCCUGAAUUGACUGGGAUUUGGAGAGGGGGUGUUGAGCAUAAAGUUUCUCUCUAUGCUGAUGACUUAUUACUCUUUCUCUCAAAUCCGUCUACAUCCUUACCUCUAAUGUUUUCACUUCUUGACCAGUUUAGCCAGAUCUCUGGCUAUAAACUUAAUUUACAUAAGAGUGAACUUCUCCCAAUUAAUAAAGAAGCACAAGAACUAACAUUUCAUGAUCUCCCUUUGAAAGUAGUCCAUAAUCAAUUUACUUAUCUUGGAAUUACAGUCACAAGGAAGUUUAAAGAUCUCUUUAGUGAAAACUUUGCCAAUCUUUCAUAUGCUAUAAAACAUAUACUGUCUGGUACAUAGUCUGGUAAACAUAGUCUGGUACAAUGGUAACCUCUAUCUAUGUCUUUGCUAGGUCGUAUUAACGUUGUUAAAAUGUAUGUUCUCCCCAAAUUUUUAUACCUAUUUCAAUCUAUCUCAAUUUUUAUUCCUAAAUCUUUUUUUGAUUCCUUAGACUCUAUUAUUUUGUCAUAUCUGUGGUAGAAUAAGCGCUCUAGAAUUAAUAAAAUCCAUCUCCAAAAAUCUAAAAAAGAGGGUGGCAUGGCUUUACCUAACUUUCGUUUAUAUUAUUGGGCAGCUAAUAUACGUUGUGCUUCCUUCUGGUCUUUCUUCCAUGGCCAACCCGAAUGCCCUAACUGGGUGGCGAUGGAGCUGAGCUC